rnacentral:tRNA from 1 species
GGAGGGUAUAGCUUAGUGGUAGAGUGUGUGCCUACUAUGCACAAGGUCCUGGGUUCAAUCCCCCAGUACCUCCA